AUUGAACGCUGGCGGCAUGCCUUACACAUGCAAGUCGAACGGCAGCACGGGUGCUUGCACCUGGUGGCGAGUGGCGAACGGGUGAGCAAUACAUCGGAACAUGUCCUGUAGUGGGGGAUAGCCCGGCGAAAGCCGGAUUAAUACCGCAUACGAUCUACGGAUGAAAGCGGGGGACCUUCGGGCCUCGCGCUAUAGGGUUGGCCGAUAGCUGAUUAGCUAGUUGGUGGGGUAAAGGCAUACCAAGGCGACGAUCAGUAGCUGGUCUGAGAGGACGACCAGCCACACUGGGACUGAGACACGGCCCAGACUCCUACGGGAGGCAGCAGUGGGGAAUUUUGGACAAUGGGCGAAAGCCUGAUCCAGCAAUGCCGCGUGUGUGAAGAAGGCCUUCGGGUUGUAAAGCACUUUUGUCCGGAAAGAAAUCCUUGGCUCUAAUACAGUCGGGGGAUGACGGUACCGGAAGAAUAAGCACCGGCUAACUACGUG
rnacentral:rRNA from 1 species